CAGAAACGUUUCGCUAUCUUUAUUUUAACGGGCACUUUACUCUUGUAUCAGUGAUGUAUGUAUCGAUCGUUUUUGACAUGCAUCUCCUAAACUAUUUCAAAUAGGAUAAUUUUGUUUAAUGCUCUUAAAAGCACAUAAUUCUGGCGUACCAAUUUUUUGGUUUGGUAUGCAUUUUCAAUGAGUGGGGGUGCUAACUUACGUUAAGUCAGCACCCCCAUUUUUAAUUGCGAUUUCUUGCUAAACCGCUUGAGCACAAAAAUCGUGAAUAGAGCACAUAAUUAGCACAUAAAGAGCACUUAAUUCCUGUAUAUUUAGUAAUUCGAUUUUUUGUGGUCGGGGUGCUAACUUAACAGACGUGUUAAAGUAGUAGCUAAAUAGACGCUGAAUAACGCCUCGGAUGAAGAAUUCGAGGUUCAAUGUAAAACUAAAAUUUCGACUCGGGUUAUGAAGUUAUUGUAAUGACUAAAUUAUGAUACUAUAUAUAUAUAUAUAUAAUCAAUACUGCAUAAUAUAUAUAUGUAACUGCAAUAAUGUAAUAAUACUAAUAUUAAAUAAAAAGCAAUUACAAUUUAUUCAGAUUCACUUAGGCAGCAAUCUUCCACAGUUUAAUUUGAUCAAGGUUGAGCAGACGCGAUUCAACACAAAAAGCAAUACACAACCGUAAGAGAGAAAGAAAGUAAAUCUGGCGUUACGCUGAAAUCACUCUCUCGAGCACUGGUUCCAAAUGUUUUCACGAGGGAUUCCUCAGCCGGGAUCACGGGAGUAGCAGCAGGAGUAGUCGAAUUCCACUCUGCAACGUAAAUUCCCCGGGAGUGAUUAUUUUCGGUGGCGGAUGAGCCGUUCGGAUUGUCGGUUUUUCGCGUGUGUUUAAAUCGCCGGUAGCGCGCGAGAUGACGGCGCGCAGAUUAUCGCUCGGCAAAGCCGUGAACUCCGUCAUCGUCGUAUCUCGUUAUCGCCUGUUUACAAGACGAACGCCUCCUCGAGAGGAUCAGACGAGGUAGUGCGGCGAGAGCACAUCAUCUCUCUCUUUCUCUCUCCUGAUAUAUACACGGUGCGAAAAUUUACGGCAUCGAGUUAAACGGAAUUAAGGGGGGAAUCUGGUUUACCGGGUCCAAAAAAUUGAGGCCAGUCAAAUGGUACAAAAUGAAUUUUAUGAGGAAGUUGAAGGGCUCCUGUAUGGAGCAGGAAUUGCUGAUUAACCUACGACUGCUGUUCACUUCGAAGGUAAUUAUGUAAAAUUAAUAAAAACCUGAAUCGUUUGUUUCACACAAGAUUUACGCUCUCCAGAAUGUACACAAUGAACCAACUGCAGCGGCGAGGCGUUACAAGCAUCUUCCUGUUUCAUCGGCUUAACGGCUAUAUUUUUAAUCCAAAACAUUAAUUUUUGUAGUUUAAAUAUACAAUAAUAUAUUCUAAAAGUGUGGGAGUAAUUGCUUUUAUUUUACCUACUUUAAAAAAUUCCUAAAAAUUAUGCAUUUUUCGGGCUCCUAAACCAGAUUUCCCCCUUAAGGCCGCCGCGAAGUUGGUGCGAAAUUAGAACGGGGGCCGCCACGUCGUUCGGCACUAUGGCGUUUGCUUUUCCCGUUUUCGAUUUUCCGUUGCGCGACUUGUGCCGUCUGCGCUCUUAAUGAGGCACGUCGUUGUGUCACGAGCGUGUUCGCUCGUCGUGGCUCAAAGCUGGACACGGAUGACUGGUAUUCUCAGAGUAUCGGUAGCAGACGACAAAGCCGGAAGCCGGAUCGACUUUCGAAAAAAAAAGAAACGAGUAAAUGUAUCUGAAACACCGAAUCUGCGCGAGUAUCGUCGCAUAUCCUUUGCUUUAUUGCUGCAAAAAGUUUCAGCUAAAUAACAUGUACUGUAUGAUUUAGAAAUAAUGCAGAUUGUUAAGUAAUGGGGAUGGUUGGGCUUUUAUGCAGUUGAAACGCCAUAAAAUCUGACUGAAUGUGUUUUGUAAUUAUUUUUCAGUGGAGACAUUAAGUAUUGUUAACGACCAGAAAAAGCCAUAAUUUGCAGUAAACAUAAAACUGGGGGAGAAUUAAUGGAACUUUUAUCGUUCACGUGAUUAAACGAUUUUAUCAUAGUGUCGAUCUGAACGUGAACAUGAGAUUGUAAAAUGCGUUACACGCAUGAAAUUCGAUAAGCGUUAAACUUGAUAAACACGUCUGAUCGCUCCGAAGGCCAUUAUUGCGAUCGUCUAUAUUUUAGCGUUCAUAAUCUACAGUGACUGCGUCACAGCAAUUUAAUAAUUAACUACCGAAUUAUCGCUCCGUUGAACCGAGCCAGCAUAAUAAUUUAAUAAAACCGAUAAUAAUGACAACACCGCUCGCUGUCCUAUUAACUGAUACUUCACACUACUGACGUUUCUCAAUCUCGUUCCAUCAUUGUUUCAUCAUUUCCAUUAACUCUUUAUCUUACAACAGAUAUAAUGAUAACAUAGAAUUCAAUCUUUAAUCGCUUGUCCUUACUUGCUUGUCUUAGAAAUGCAAAGUAACUAGUUGCGCCGAGAUCAAAUAAAUGAUUUAUAUAAAAUAUAUAAAUAGAAAAAUAUUUAACUCUCUAAAGCAUAGUGGUAUGAAAAAUGUCCCACUUUUUUAGUGUUUGAACGUGCAUGAUGGGAUGUUAUUCAUACCACCUUUAAAUCGUGAAAUUACUAGAAGCACAAAGGUACAUUCUGUCCACCUAUUUAGUUAGAGACUCUACCAACACAGAUUAAGAUAUUGUUUCAGAGUAUCAGAGUAGGGUAUUAUAUUGUUAAUCAACAAAUCUUAUAAAAUAAAACUAUUAAAAUAAAACUAUUUUGUCACAUUUUAUAAAACUAAAAUUCCUGUGCAACAAGAAAUUUUUUGUUGUAAAAUCCUGUACUUCAAAGAAUUAAACAUGCAAAAUUAAACAUGCACUGCAUUCCUGUGACUCUCAGUGGUUUCUCUUGUUGACGAAAAAUGGGAAUUCUAGUCGAUUCAAACAUUCGUGGCAGAAAGGCUCGACGCAUCCUCGCACAGGCAUGCAAAUACACACAACGCGUGCCUGAAAUAUUUGCCGUGCAGUUUUGGGAGCCAGGAAACGUCGUUCGACGACGGAUGGAUUCUGUCUUGAACAUUCGAGCCGGCCGGUAUCCGAGAAAAAGAGAAAUUAAGUCGGUCCGACACAACAUGCGCGCGCGCUUGGCGACGCGCAUUGUUCUGCUCUAAUAAUUGCGUUCAGAAUCAAUUCGCCGCGACGAAAUGGUCCCGCGCGGCUGGACGUGAUUUAGAAUCUCCCAAAUAGCCCCGGUCAUGGCGUAUUAUAGGCUUGAACAAAGAUGGCGGACACGCGCAGCAGGUAUCGGCCUUUCUUUAAUAUUUUUGGAAGAAGUGGCGACAGUUGUCUGUCACAGCAAUAUACACUUGUAUACUAUCGUAUUAUUUUUGAAAGUUUUUUUCUUACGAUGGCUUUUGGAAUUAAUUUAUCAUGAUGGGAGAUUGGUGGGUGGCGCUGCGUGAUUGAUUAGCUUGUCAAAGCAAACAUUUAUGGAAAUAUGAUAGACGCGAGUUGUGUCAGUGACAGAUAGACUUUUUCUCAGAACAUGAGAGUAGAGAAGUAGCGGCGCGAUUAUUUCACGUUUUUUGUAUUUCCCUCGUGCGAGAACUGCGUCCAGAAUGCGAAUGCGGAUAAAAACUUAGAUUUCCAUGGGGAAUUAACCCUUGGGGUUUGUUGCGGGGUGAGUUUUAAAAACGGAUUAGAAAUCGUAACAUGGCACGCGACACGGAGAGGCGUGGAACUUGCAGCCAGAUUAAAAGCACCGCGAAAUCGCGCGAACUUUCCGUGUUACAUCUGGGAAUCCGAGAAUUCCGCUGCUUUUUGGGGGGCGGAAAGGGUGAAGUUCGCAAUUGCCGUUUGCGCCCUCCGGUCCCCGUAACGUGAGAAGAUACCAGCUGCUCUUGGCUGCAAAAUUAACGCGGAAUGCACGAAAAGUUUCGUCCUGCCGGCGACGAGGAUGCCAACGCGGCGGGGGACCGUACGUAAUUCAUAGUCGACAAGAUAAUUGGGGCACGGCGAUUGCACACAAGACGAGGAGAGAGAGAGAGCGCGCGCGCAUAUUGCGGAAAUUCGCACGAGAACUCGCACACGGCAUCUAAUCGGUUCGCCUAUGCUGCGUUUUCCAAGAAAUCGCAUGCCACGAAUUACCGGUUGCUCGCACGAUUCAUUAACUCCGUUCCGCGCUCCUCGUUACGCUUGAUCACGUGUUAAUUCUCUUCGGGGAAGUGCGUCCGUCGUGCACGGAAUGUAAAAAAAUCGUCGCGCAACUAUUCUCAGGCGCGAUUAAUCUCGGGAGCGUAAACGGAGGAAAUGCGCAAUUGCACGAUUGGUCAACGCGCGAUAGUGGAAUGCCGUUCGCAGGCCAAAUAGUGCGACCGGACAGCAUUAUCAAGAUGUGAAACGCUUUAAAGGUACACUUAUCGAAAUCUCGAUAACACCCGUGAGAGCAAGUGCAGGAUAAGAGAUGGGAAAGAGAGGCAGCAGCGUGGUUGCUAAAGUUGCUUAAGAGGUUUCUUGGCAAAUUUCAUUCCGGAAAGUUUACGUCGCUUUUUGGAGCACUUCAGGUCGAGGUCAAUUAAACGCUCGCCCUCCGCAAGAGGGCGAACGCGACAGAUUUUUUAAUAAAUUUUAUUCCCUUUUUAUGUGCGCAACUUUAUAUAUAUAUAUAUAUAAUUUUUAAUCUUGCUUUCUUCCGUCUCUCUCUCCCUCUCUGGACAGCAUGCAGAACAUAAUAGUCAACAAUUAUGUUAUAGAUUUCAGUACUAUUAAAUUAAAAAUUAAAUAUUUUAAUAUAAAGAAAUUAAAUAUUUGGAGAUAACUGUUACUAAUACCUUGUCCUGGGAGAGUCACAUUACUAACGUCUUGAGAAAGAUGCAUAAUGCACUAUAGCGGCUAAAAAUCUGUAAAGAACUGUUACCAAUAUGCCUGAGAGAAAAACUUGUCAAGGCAUUCAUCAUCACUCAUGCGGAUUAUUGUUGUGCUGCACUAAUGCAUAUUACUGCAGAACAAAAUAUGAGAUUGUAUAGAAUGGUCAAUGCAAGUAUACGAUUUAUAUACGACCUCAAGCAUGAUGAACACAUUUAAAUCGUACUGAAAAACUUGACUGGCUGAAAGUUGAUGUGAGGAGAACCUAUUUUGUAGGUUGCCUCCUAUUUAACAUUCUUAAAAAUCAAACUCUUAAUCUUCUCUUCAACAAUUAUAAAUUGCGAAGCGCGGUUAAAGUCAGAAACACUAGAGCUGCAGAUGAUCUUCUUGCUGUGCCAAAAUACAGAACGGCAAUCUUCAAGAGGUCCUUUAUAGUUCACUCGGCUGAAUUAUGGAAUAAUUUGCCACCUAAAGUAAGAAAUGCUAGAGCGCUCGAUGAAUUUAAAUCAACCUUCUAUUCAUUGCUGCUUGACAGGAGUAGUCUUUUAACUUAUUUAACUGAUACUGCUUGUCUGAAUUUUUGAAGUGUUCUAUAAGUAUACGUAGCGAGCGAUUGGUUAAUACAAAACUAAUUUUCUUUUGCAUGCACUCUGUUUAAUGCGUAACUACAUUCUGGUUUCCUGGUAUUUAACAUUUUUAUGGAUACCCCGAGCGAUUUUUGAUUUUAUAUUCUUUAUGUAUUAUUUUAUCUCUCACUUUAUCUUUAAGUUAAUCACUUAGUAUUUUAAUAUUUUUAUCUUUUAUCUAAUUAUGUUAUGAAAUGAUCAAAAUGUUCAUAAUUAUAUCACUAGCAUUCAAUAAUGGCGCUAGAAGGGACUUAGUCCCAUUUUUGAAUCGACUAGAAUUCCCAUUUUUCGUCAACAAGAAAAAUAUAAAACGCUUCUCUAUUUAUUUAUUGAAUCAUGUCAUAUAAAAAACAUCGCAAGGGUUGUCGCAAGUUCUGGCAUUUCUAUCAACAGCCCAGGAGCAAAAAUGGAGCUCCGCUUAAAUCAAAUUUAUGUUAAUGGAAGCGCAAUACGGGUCUCCCGUUUGUUCGAGUAACGGCGUAUCCGGCUCGCGAAACACUCGCCGUGUCGUAAAUCGACUCGCACUGUUCGUUUGAGCGAUAGUGACGUGCACGAGAGAGGCGCGCGUGUUACGCCGUCAGCGUCUAUUCUGUUCCCGGUCAAUGCUCUAGCCGAUCCAACGGCGGCUAGAACAAAUCGAAGCGAACUACGACAGACGAACGGGUCGCUGUUCUAUGCGGUCGGGGAGAAAGUAGAUUGGCUGCGUGCCAGCCACGUGCUGAUAAAGAGAUUACAAACGGGACAGCGACACUUUCGCAAACUCGGUGCGUUCCCGCGCGAUCAAAAGGACCGAGUCCGUCUCCAGAAAUUUGCGCACGCUGCUGACCUUUCUACAAAGAUCACCGCGUUGACCAUUUAAAAUUUUAAAUGCAGCGUUUUGUCCUGUUCCUGAUGGAAUUUUUCAGACCCUGCAACGGCGACGCCGCGAAGCGAAAAGCGGCUUAUGCAACUUUUUGCGCGUUCCUCAUGCAUAAUCGAUCCCCUCGUGACAAAUGGUGAUCGAGGAUUUAUUAGGUUCGCUCGCGAUUCCUGAAAAAAGUUCGAAGGUAUUUGCGUCGGGUAAAUGUCUACUUCAUGGAAAAA
rnacentral:lncRNA from 1 species